AUUCUUUGUUUUGCAUAGAAUGGUGGGGAGGACCCAAGGGGAGUUUUAACUCCAGGCUAUUUUGAGCCAUGUAACUUUCCUUCAUCAGCCACCCCAGGAAUGCAGACAUUGUCACCUUGCCCAUCAUAUUAGAGGCCCUGGAGUGGGAAGGCCUAGGUUAUCCAAGAGGUCCGGAUGUUACUGGGGUUCCUAGGGCUCACCGAGAAUGAUCAUCUUCUACUUCUCAACCACAGCUGACCCAAUAACCAGUCUCCUUGGGAAAGGGAAGAAAUUUGUCUAUUCUUGGCCAGGUUGCAUCUUUUCAGCAGUUGAAAUUGUCCACUCUCAUUCUCUGAUCAACUUGUCUAACCAAUGCAAUCAACUACUCAACCCAAACCUCCUACUAAACCAAGUUUCCUAGUGGGUAAUUGCUGAAGUGAGAAGGAACAGGUCAUAGGCUAAAAUCCCUGGAGAACUGACUUCAUAAAGCCACUGAUAAAGCCAUUGCUUCAUAUAGAACUACAACUGCCCUUUCAAAAAUCUAAUAAAUGUGCCUUAGUACUCACAUUUCAGAGCAUACUGUGGCUGGAAUAUAUGCUUUUGAAAUCUGUGGUGAAAGGAUUGCUGGAGAUGAUACACUCACUCCAUUGUUCCCCUCCCAAGACUGAGCCAUUCAUGAAAAAAGGAGAGGGUAACGGACAUAGGUCUUUCUAGAGAAUACUGCACAGCUCCUCAGAAACUCUGCUCUUGGGACCCUCUCAGAAAGCCCUGAAGGAAAAAAUCACAAUUGGGAGUGAGGUCAUGAGCUCAUGGCAUUACCUGUGCUAUUAUUACAUAUUAUUGCUUGCAAGUGUGCUGCUGCUGCAGCAAAAAGAAACAGCUUGUUCUCUGAGAUGUUGUGAUGUCUUUGAUGACCCAAGUCAUCAAACACCCACAGUCCUCGGGGAGUGCAGCACAGUGAUUGUAGAGUAAGUGCCAGGCAGCAAAUAGCUUCCUCAUCGCUGAAAUUGGUCGUGAUUUUACUCUCCGCGGAGCAUAUUACAUGACCGUUCAAUGCUGUAUGACUUCCUUGGUGGUUGAGCGGCUGAGAACCUGCCUGACAGUGCGGGACACACAGAUUUGAUCCCUGGUCCGAGAAGACUGCUCCACAUGCUGUGGAGCAGCUAAGGCUAUGUGCCGCAACUGCUGAGCCCGAGCUCUAGAGCCUGUUCUCCACAAUAAGAGAAGCCAACGCAACGAGAAAUCCAAGCAUUGGAAUUAGAGAAUGCCUGAGCACAGCAGGGAAGAUCCAGCACAGCCACAAAUAAAUAAGUUAACAAAUUAUUUUUUAAA
ensembl:lncRNA